rnacentral:rRNA from 1 species
GUGAGGAAUAUUGGUCAAUGGGCGGGAGCCUGAACCAGCCAAGUCGCGUGAAGGAAGAAGGAUCUAUGGUUCGUAAACUUCUUUUGCAGGGGAAUAAAGUGCAGGACGUGUCCUGUUUUGUAUGUACCCUGAGAAUAAGGAUCGGCUAACUCCGUGCCAGCAGCCGCGGUAAUACGGAGGAUCCGAGCGUUAUCCGGAUUUAUUGGGUUUAAAGGGUGAGUAGGUGGUUUGAUAAGUCAGCGGUGAAAGUUUGCAGCUUAACUGUAAAAAUGCCGUUGAAACUGUCGGACUUGAGUGUAAAUGAGGUAGGCGGAAUGCGUGGUGUAGCGGUGAAAUGCAUAGAUAUCACGCAGAACUCCGAUUGCGAAGGCAGCUUACUAAGCUACAACUGACACUGAAGCACGAAAGCGUGGGGAUCAAACAGGAUUAGAAACCCUUGUAGUCC